GUUAGCCUAGUUUAAGUCAAAACUCUACAUUUUCAGUGUAAAAAUAAAUAUUUUUGGUUAAUU
rnacentral:tRNA from 1 species